rnacentral:rRNA from 1 species
UUGGAAGAAGUCGUCGAAGGGGGAAUCAAUAACUGGGGUGAAGUCGUAACAAGGUAGCCGUAUCGGAAGGUGCGGCUGGAUCACCUCCUUUCUAAGGAGA